AUAUCUUAUUAUUAUUUAUAUUCACAUCUGUAUUUGUUAAAUAAAAUCAAUAUAGACAUAGGUAUAUUAGUACAAGCAAUCAAAAAGGGAUUGCAGAAGAGGUUUUUAGAGCUAGUUAUAGUGGGCCAAGGUCAAGAGCUGCAGGUAGGGGUGCGCAAAAAUCAAAUCUGAACUAAUCAAACUGGUGAAAUCGAGUCAAAUCGUAGAUUUGGUUUGGUUUAAAAUUUUAUUCGGUUUAGUUUGGUUGAUUUUUGAUAUAUAAAAAAUAAGUUUAGAUUGAUUCAGAUUUGUCAGUAACUAAAAUUAUUCUCAAAUCGAACC
rnacentral:lncRNA from 1 species